CCUACGGGAGGCAGCAGUGGGGAAUAUUGCACAAUGGGCGAAAGCCUGAUGCAGCAACGCCGCGUGAGUGAUGAAGGCCUUCGGGUCGGAAAACUCUGUCCUCAAGGAAGAUAAUGACGGUACUUGAGGAGGAAGCCCCGGCUAACUACGUGCCCGCAGCCGCGGUAAUACGUCGGGGGCUAGCGUUAUCCGGAUUUACUGGGCGUAAAGGGUGCGUAGGCGGUCUUUCAAGUCAGGAGUGAAAGGCUACGGCUCAACCGUAGUAAGCUCUUGAAACUGGGAGACUUGAGUGCAGGAGAGGAGAGUGGAAUUCCUAGUGUAGCGGUGAAAUGCGUAGAUAUUAGGAGGAACACCAGUUGCGAAGGCGGCUCUCUGGACUGU
rnacentral:rRNA from 1 species